AGAGCGAACGCUGGCGGCAGGCCUAACACAUGCAAGUCGAACGGACCCUUCGGGGUUAGUGGCGGACGGGUGAGUAACACGUGGGAACGUGCCUUUAGGUUCGGAAUAGCUCCUGGAAACGGGUGGUAAUGCCGAAUGUGCCCUUCGGGGGAAAGAUUUAUCGCCUUUAGAGCGGCCCGCGUCUGAUUAGCUAGUUGGUGAGGUAAUGGCUCACCAAGGCGACGAUCAGUAGCUGGUCUGAGAGGAUGAUCAGCCACAUUGGGACUGAGACACGGCCCAAACUCCUACGGGAGGCAGCAGUGGGGAAUCUUGCGCAAUGGGCGAAAGCCUGACCAGCAUGCCCGCGUGAAUGAUGAAGGGCUUAAGGAUUGUAAAAUCUUUCAACGGGGACGAUAUGACGGUACCCGGAGAAAAAACCCCGGUUACUUCGUGCCACAGCCCCGGGAAUACCAAGGGGCUUGCCGUUGUUCGGAAUACUGGGCGUAAAGGGCCGUAGCGGAUCGUUAAUCAAGUGAAAUACCAGGGUUAACCUGGACUGCUU
rnacentral:rRNA from 1 species